ACCUAACCUAUGGACGGGGAUAACCUCGGGAAACUGAGAAUAAUACCCGAUAGAUCAUGAUACCUGGAACGGUUUAUGGUUCAAAUGAUUUAUCGCCAUAGGAUGGGACUGCGGUCUAUCAGCUUGUUGGUGAGGUAAUGGCCCACCAAGGCUAUAACAGAUACGGGCUCUGAGAGGAGGGGCCCGGAGAUGGGUACUGAGACACGGACCCAGGUCCUAUGGGGCGCAGCAGGCGAGAAACCUUUGCAAUGUGCGAAAGCACGACAAGGUUAAUCCGAGUGAUUCCUGCUAAAGGAAUCUUUUGUUAGUCAUAAAACCACUGAUGAAUAAGGGGUGGGCAAGUUCUGGUGUCAGCCGCCGCGGUAAUACCAGCACCUCGAGUGGUCAGGAGGUUUAUUGGGCCUAAAGCAUCCGUAGCCGGCUGUUCAAGUUUCCGGUUAAAUCCGCACGCUUAACGUAUGGGCUGCCGGAAAUACUGUUCAGCUAGGGAGUGGGAGAGGUAGACGGUACUCGAUAGGAAGGGGUAAAAUCCUUUGAUCUAUUGAUGACCACCUGUGGCGAAGGCGGUCUACCAGAACACGUUCGACGGUGAGGGAUGAAAGCUGGGGGAGCAAACCGGAUUAGAUACCCGGGUAGUCCCAGCUGUAAACGAUGCAGACUCGGUGAUGCAUUGGCUUGUGGCCAGUGCAGUGCCGCAGGGAAGCCGUUAAGUUUGCCGCCUGGGAAGUACGUACGCAAGUAUGAAACUUAAAGGAAUUGGCGGGGGAGCACCACAAGGGGUGAAGCCUGCGGUUCAAUUGGAUUCAACGCCGGAAUCGGAUCCCGGGCC
rnacentral:rRNA from 1 species